GACGAACGCUGGCGGCGUGCUUAACACAUGCAAGUCGAGCGGUAAGGCCCUUUCGGGGGUACACGAGCGGCGAACGGGUGAGUAACACGUGGGUGACCUGCCCUCAGCUCUGGGAUAAGCCUGGGAAACUGGGUCUAAUACUGGAUAUGACUCCACGGUGCAUGUCGUGGGGUGGAAAGCCUUGUGCGGCUGAGGAUGGGCCCGCGGCCUAUCAGCUUGUUGGU
rnacentral:rRNA from 1 species